rnacentral:rRNA from 1 species
UACGAAGGGGGCUAGCGUUGCUCGGAAUCACUGGGCGUAAAGCGCACGUAGGCGGCUUGGUAUGUCGGGUGUGAAAUCCCCGGGCUCAACCUGGGAACUGCAUCCGAAACUGCCUUGCUCGAGUAUGGGAGAGGGAAGUGGAAUUUCCGGUGUAGCGGUGAAAUGCGUAGAUAUCGGAAGGAACAUCAGCGGCGAAGGCGACUUCCUGGACCAAUACUGACGCUCAGGUGCGAAAGCGUGGGGAGCAAACAGG